rnacentral:rRNA from 1 species
CGUGUAGGCGGAUAUUUAAGUCAGAUGUGAAAACCCCCGGGCUCAACUUGGGGACUGCAUUUGAUACUGGAUAUCUUGAGGACAGGAGAGGAAAGCGGAAUUCCUAGUGUAGCGGUGAAAUGCGUAGAUAUUAGGAGGAACACCAGUGGCGAAGGCGGCUUUCUGGACUGUAACUGACGCUGAGGCGCGAAAGCGUGGGGAGCGAACG